UUGCUAUGGAGCUCUGUGAUAACACUUAAAAACCAACAAUAUUGAGUUCCUCGAAAAGAGAUAUUAGGAUACAAAAAGCAGAAAAAUCCGAACACCCAGACAGGGUCUGAACCCACAGCCACCACACCGAUCUUGUGCUUGUAGUCUCAACUCCUUUGGUUCAUUUAUUGUUAUUAGUAAUGUUUACAUCAUUUUCUAACUACCUGAAUGUAACUUGGACGAACAUCACUUGUACCGCACUAUGUAUGUAAAUACCUAUUACUGUAUCGGAACGAAUGCAUAUAAGCUACG